AUUUCAACAAUUGCUUCAACCAAGUUCAUGGUUUUCAAAGCAAUGAAGCUGAAAGACUGCCAAGUAGAAGGAGACUUGCAACCGUCCAGUUUCCAUUGAAAAGUUAACCUCUAGUUUCAUUUCCCUCUUUGAAAUCAGAAAAAAUCAAAUUGGCAAAACGAUGUACAAAGUCUAAGAGAAAUUCUUACAGAUAGAGAGCUAGAAAGUUAUCAAAGAAGAGAAAUCGCACCUUAAGAGGUAAUUUAUUUUAUGAUUACAAGGUUUCGGGAAGUCGAUUUGGGGGCUUUAUUGAUGCGGAGGAAGAAGAGUCGAGAAGAUAAAACCCUAGCAGCAGGGAGGGUUUUUAUGAGAUGAUAAGAGAGACUUCUAGAAUAUUUUGGGUUGUAAUAGGAGAGAGAAACUGAGGAACACGCGCCACGCCAGAUAGCAGAGAGGCAAAGACAAAAGGGCUGGAAAGUUGGGUGGAUCAACCCCGUAAGGCCACUUUAUGACCCGGGAUUCAAAACUGUGUGGUUAUUUGCCUAGCCCAUAUUUAGUUCUCUAAAAUAUAAACAUAGUUUCUAUACUUUUUAUUUUCAUUAGAUUUAUUUUUUACUUUAUUUUAUAUAAAUUUAAUUUUUAUAUUUUUAAAUAAUAUUCCAU
rnacentral:lncRNA from 1 species